rnacentral:rRNA from 1 species
GAUGAACGCUGGCGGCGUGCUUAACACAUGCAAGUCGAACGAUUAACCCUUCUUCGGAAGGUCAUAAAGUGGCGAACGGGUGAGUAACACGUGACCAACCUGCCUCUCACAUUGGGAUAACUUAGAGAAAUCUAAGCUAAUACCAAAUACUCUUGAUCUUUCGCAUGACGGAUCAAGGAAAGCUUUCGCGGUGAGAGAUGGGGUCGCGGCCCAUUAGGUAGUUGGUGGGGUAGAGGCCUACCAAGCCGAUGAUGGGUAGCCGGGUUGAGAGACCGACCGGCCACAUUGGGACUGAGAUACGGCCCAGACUCCUACGGGAGGCAGCAGUGGGGAAUUUUGCGCAAUGGGCGAAAGCCUGACGCAGCAACGCCGCGUGCGGGAUGACGGCCUUCGGGUUGUAAACCGCUUUCAGUGGGAAAGAUAAUGACGGUACCCACACAAGAAGCUCCGGCUAAAUACGUGCCAGCCGCCGCCGUAAUAC